CCCUCCUGUGCCUACUGAACUGGUAUCAGUGUUACACCUGAAAACUGGCUCAGUUCAGCAGGAACAGGAGU
rnacentral:pre_miRNA from 1 species